rnacentral:lncRNA from 1 species
CCACCCCCCAUCACCACGCCCAAAAUUGCAAUUAGGAGGUGACAGAAACUGCUGAGACAUUAGGUAACGUGGAGAACAUCUGAACAGCGUUCCGACGGCACGCAGCAGGCAGCACGACGCACCGCGACGUGAGUGAUGGGGUGGGCCAGCCGUCACAGGACACCAGGCCACGUCUGUCAUGCCCUGGCUGUGUCCGUGACCUUGGGAAACUCCUCACCCUGAGCCUCAGCCCCUCCUCUGUAUAACGAUUCUCGCGAGCGUGAGGUUCGGUCCACAUUUCUAAAGUGCUUGGAAG